rnacentral:lncRNA from 1 species
AGAAAUCUCACUAGAAAAACAACCUCAAUAACCACUAUUACUUCAACGUCAACCCCAAAAGGCACUUUAAUUUUUCCUUGGCCUUAAGCUCAUGUCAGCAUCCAUAUCUUCCUCAUCUCACCCAACAUUCUUCAUCAUCAAACAACCUCCUCCAACCAAAAAACACACAACCUAAAAAUCUCUAUUGCACAACAAUCUAGAAAAAAAAACUCAAAAACAGCCAACACACUCUCUCUUGGUGCAUUUAGGAUCCGUGCAAAAUUAGGAAUAUGUUUCGUUCUGUGUAACUGGUUCUAAAUUGAUGCACUCUAUUUAUUAUACAAUAAUCACACUCAAUUAUUGACACUGGGGACUUGUUAUUGCACUAUGAUUUUUGAUAAAAUCUGUGUAUAGUAAUCUUUGUAGCACUCACGGUGUACAUUAAUUGUACCGUAUGUGUAAUUAAGCAACCACUAAUUGUUGUUAGCCAACAUAGCCUCCACCUUCACACUCUCACAUAUAUGAUUCUCACUUUAACCCACACCUAAACUUUCUUCUAUCAUAUCCUUUUUAGCAACCAAAACUUGAUCUUUAUGUUAUUUCAUCUUCAUCAAUCAUCACUCUACCUCACAAAAAGAACCAAUACAACACAUUACCAAUCUUCCAUACAACACCAUGAUAACCACAAAAAUAAAUAUUCAUUGUAAACAAUAGCAACCUGGUUGAAGGGAAAUUUGAGGACACAAACAGUG